CGGGAUAUAGCUUAGUGGUGCAGCGCCUGCCUGGCAAGCAUGAGGUCUUGAGUUUGAUUCCUGGUACCCCCA
rnacentral:tRNA from 1 species